AUUCCAGCUCCAAGAGCAUAUAUUAAAGUUGUUGCAGUUAAAAAGCUCGUAGUUGGAUUUCUGGUACAAUGCGCCUGGCCCGCCACAGUUUAUGUGUGUGAGUGCCGGUGCGCGUUUGCCAUCUUUCUAGAAAACGUUUCUACCCUUUACUGGGCCGGAUUCGCGAUCUAGAUCGUUUACUUUGAAAAAAUUAGAGUGUUUAAAGCAGGCUUAUGCUAUGAAUACAUUAGCAUGGAAUAAUAAUCUAGGACUUCGGUUCUAUUUUGUUGGUUUCUAGACCUGAAGUAAUGAUUAAUAGGGACAGUUGGGGAUAUUAGUACUAGACCAUUAGAGGUGAAAUUCUUGGAUCGGUUUAUGACUAACGACUGCGAAAGCAUUUAUCAGGGAUGUUUUCAUCG
rnacentral:rRNA from 1 species